GUUUCUGUGGCCUAGUGGUUAUGGCGCAUGUCUUACAUAUUAUUUCUAGAAAUUUAAGAUCACAUGAGAUCCCCGGUUCGAUCCCGGGCAGAAACA